CAUGUAGGUGUCUCAGUUAGCACAACGCUAGGCUCUCGGGGGCUGACGCAGCUAAAUGGAAAGUAGCCAUUUUUCACCGUUCUUUAACCCGUCAUUAAUUACCCGUCCGCUCUGUCACGUCAGAGUUCCUAUAAAAGGUGUAAUUGUGUUGUGUUCGCACUAACGCGGUGAUGACGGACGCUCUAAUCAGGACAGCGAAGUGAAAACACCUGCGGGGUCAGACCAAGGGCUUGCGACUGUAUUUCACAGGACGAUAUUUUUACAGAAAAAGCCCAGGUGUUGCUCCACGGAAUCACCCGAAACUCAUUCACCUGGCAGAUUCACAUUAAACAGUUUCCUGCUCCUCGGUGCUGUAAGCUCCCCGUGUCACUCUGCAGUGUGUCUGCGGCGCCGCUAAGCCUCCACAUGUGUCCGCAGGCCUCAACCCUCUGCCCUCUGGGGAUGACAUUUCUUCCACGGCGCGGUAGACGGGACAUUUGUGCCAUCAUGGAAAGGCGGGGGCGCCGGCCAGGCGGAUAGACGUCGGGGAGGCAUCACAUGUGCAGGUAGUGGACCGUUUCUUUUGGUUGCCUGUUGAUGACGUCAUCCAGUCAUCCAGUCAUCCAAACCCCCCCGAUGAAACAUCAGAGUGAGGAAGGACAUAUUUGGAAAUGUUUGGUGACACACCGAGCCUCGGGCAGCAGAUCUCCCACAGAGACACUGGAUCACACAUCAGACCACCAUAGCAUCGCAACCUCCUGCUUCAUCCAUCAGGAGGAUCAAGUCACACAAAUAGCUCUGGGGAAAGUGCUGUUGCAGCUGUGACUGGAAAAAGUAAAACAUCAAUUCCUGUGAACCACGGGACCAUUUCCAGCAAGACGGCUCCAGCGUGUUUGACAGAACGAAACGUGA